UACGAAGGGGGCUAGCGUUGUUCGGAAUUACUGGGCGUAAAGGGCGCGUAGGCGGCUUGUCACGUCGGGUGUGAAAGCCCGGGGCUUAACCCCGGGACUGCGUCCGAUACUUCCGAGCUGGAGGUAGGUAGGGGAGAUCGGAAUUCCUGGUGUAGCGGUGAAAUGCGCAGAUAUCAGGAGGAACACCGGUGGCGAAGGCGGAUCUCUGGGCCUUACCUGACGCUGAGGCGCGAAAGCCAGGGGAGCGAACGGG
rnacentral:rRNA from 1 species